CAAUUUCUGGGCGCCGGCAAGGGGAAGCUGCAGGGGGUGGCGCCCAUGGGAAGAGGCUCUCUGCUGAAAAAAAUUCUGGGCGUCACGGCUGGGAGCAGGGGGCCGAGCAGCGGCGUCGUGCCAUGAGGAGGGAAUAGCAGAGCCGCUGCUGGGGGAAAUGCCUGUGUGCUAUGGAGGCCGGCUGGUUUCCAGGGGAGAUGUAGGGCGCAGGGAAACAGGGGCGUCGGCAUGGAGCUUGGGGACGUGCUGGAGGUUGGAGGGUGCGUACGUGAGAGAAGCAACAAGCAGCCAAGGCCAUGGGCGAGCUCCUGCCAUGAAGAAGAAAGGGGCGCUGGGCGGCCUGGAAGCUCCUGCUCCCUGCUGCAGCCGCUCGCCAGGAGGAGCAGGGAGGGCGCCGCUGACCUCUGCUGGUCGUGGAGCAAGGAGCAGGGAACCGGCGGCCACCACGGCUGGGAUGUGGAGCAGAGGACGCGCGCGCGUGCUGGAGUCGGCCCAAGGAAGGGGGAGGAGACGCCAUGGAUGGACAGGGAGGGAGCUCCCUGCGUGCUUCGUGGGGAAGAAAAAGUGGCUGGCGGCUGUGGGAAGUGUAGGGGUG
rnacentral:misc_RNA from 1 species